CGGGGCGGGGCUCGGAGCGUCAUCGGGACCCGAGGAGCGGGGCUCCGUAACGCGGGCUGCCCGGGACGCCUCGCGCCUGCUGCUUUACCCCGUGCCGCCGGCACAGGGCGCCCGAGUCCCACGGAACGGCCGUGCGGCUCGUGGCGGGGCCGGGCGUUGUGCUGAGGGACGGCCUCGAGGGCGGGACGUUGAUCUGCACCGUCCGGCAGCGUUGUGGAGAUUCUCACUUCUAAGAAAGAUAUAAAAAUCUUAAGGCGCGAAUUUUGAGAGCAGUUCCUUCCCACAUCCUUUGCGCCUUUGGUUUCAGACACCAGAGGGCUCAGGAAAAGACCGUAUUUUUUCCCAUGAGGUUUUAAUCUCAAUAAUUAUUGUUUCUUUCAGCGAUGCUCACAGUAACUUCGUAGCUAUCCUUAAAAACGAUGUCAUAGCAGUUAACAGAACAAAACACCCCCCUUUCUCGAGCAAUUCCAACCGCAGACCUGCAGACAAUAAGCAGCAAAUGUUUUGGAGGAAUGUAUCCAUGUGGGGCCACCAAAUCUGCAGAUGGCAGUUGCGGUUCAUACAUGGAGAUUAAGAGAGAAAGAGGAGGAGAAGCAAAUGAAAGCCAGACUGAACAAAAUGCUUUAGAGAAAGAUCAGGAGAGAUGGGAAAGGGAUACCAAGGGAUGGAUUUCCCUUCCUCUGUAAGGCUCGAGGGUGACUUGUUCGUAAAGCAGCCAAAACCAUUAAAAUAGAGGCAGCAAUCUCUGUGCUUCAUCUCAGAUCUCAGUGCUUUCCAUGAAGGUGCCUCACUGCGUCUCAUUCAGUCAGCAGCUGUUGGGGCCCUCAGCCCCCAUAGGGCAGCAGCGUGUGAUGUGCUUUUCUGAACUGCAGAACCUGGAGCAGCACAUACCUGAGCAACCCUUUGGGCAGGGUGCUGAGAAACUCGUCU